rnacentral:sRNA from 1 species
UGAAAGCGUUGCCGCAGGCAACGACCCGAAGGGCGAAGCGCGCAGCGCUGAGUCAUCCUUCCCCCACCACCA